CUUAUCCCGAUAGCCGCUAAAAGCUUUUUUCACCCAGAAAUCCUUGAAGCGAGCUGGUGGAUUAUUUAUAUAGUAAAUGCAGAUAAAGUUUCGUUUUUAAGGCUUCGGGUCCGGACUUUUCUAACCGGUAUUCCGCCGGACCUUUCUAUGCACUUUGCUGGAGGGCCGAAAAAUAAAAUUUAUUUACAGUUUUCCCAGCUUCCUAGCCCGCUAGCAAAACGGAUGGAAUGGCAAAAAAACGGAAGCCACUGAAUUUUUUUGGUAGUAGGAAAACGUGGAGUCGAGUGGGAGGUUUGGAAAUUCAGUCACGUUUUGUGCAAAACGGCAACGGUUCGGAAUUUACGGCAAAAUUUUCUACUCGCCCAGCAGGAAAAAACACAAAAAAAAUGGAAGCCAACCGAGGAAUCCUAAUCGUAGUGAACGUCUCCUAGUCUCCUAGUCUAUUAUUUUACUUUUAUCUUACACAUCUAUUUUUUUUUUCUACUCUUUUUAAGGUAGGCCUAAUGAAAUUUUCGGUUUUAUGGACAAGUGCAACUGGGUAAAUUGCAGGUGAAAGCUUUUUCAGUCAGUUUUUUUUCUUUAUUUUAUGAAAGAAUCCUUGUCCGGUGCGUCGUUUAAUUUGAGUGCUCUCCGUCUCUCCAUCAUAAAUAAACAAAAGCUGUAAACCAUCUGAUGUUCGAGCCGGAGUUGUUGAUGCUUUCCCAGGAUGUUCUUUUCUGUGUUUUUUGCUUUUUAUCUUUUACAUUUUAUUGCCGGCUCUGGGUUUCUGGCUAGCCGCUCUUGCAUAUUCCGUGCGUAAGUUUAUGUGUCCCGGACAGCAACAUUUUGCGGGCUGUGUGGUCUCCGGGGGUUCAGAGAUGUCAACUUGGAUUGCGGUCAGUACUAGAGACAGUAAAGAAAGGGGUUAACUGAAGGAGUCUCCACAGUGGGUUAAGGGGAGGAACACCAUUCUUUAUAAACUUUUCACUUCAAUCUCAAUGCAUGUUUCUUUUAACUUUAACUAAUGCUAUUUUACCUUUAUUAUUUUUUAGAAAUAUCGCCUGUUUGUGAGCUGGAAUAUGUCAUAUUUUAACCACUGUUCCUAGCCCACAAUGAAAAGUUAAACUAACCAUGACUUUGGGACUGCAAAAUGUCCCGGACAAGCUGUACAGUGUACACAUUAAGUUUCAACUUUAACACACAAAAUAAACACACCAACACCAGCCCAGGUGUGACUUAAGCCCUCCCCCUCGUCCUGCAGCCAUUAAGCCUCCUCCGCCCCCGCCAGGAUAACCACCCCUUACGCAGACUCUAAUGCACACUAAACCAGAGCCACCAACAAGUCAACAACAAUUUGUGUUUCUGUUACCAGUUUCUAUUUUUCGCUUUUGUCGACGCUUUUCAACUUUUGCUGUCACUAGUUUUUUAUUUAUUUUUUGGCCAGGUUUUUAAUUUCAUAUUUUAUGCCAGAGGCCUGGCGGGAGGGGAGACUCAAGCUGUUCUAUAAUAAAGCCAGCUUCUUGUAGCGGCUAAGCAGCAAAAUAUGACAAAAUGUUGAGCCAGCGGGAGCAUAUUUUAAGCCUUCCUCGAGAGCUUAACAACUGCCACAAGGACACUCGAAGAAUGGUUUGAAAUUUUCAGUAUGAAAGUUAAAAUAUUAAGUAGUUAGUCGGUUCAUAUUUAACAAAUGGCAGAUCAUAUAUAAUAUAAUUAUGUGUGUCUAAUUUUCUAUUUUUUUUUUUUUUUCAGUGCCCCACCAUUUUAUCCACUCCACAAUUUUCCAUCUGCUGACAGCGGAAAAUGUCACAAAAAUGUUGGCGACGCUGACUUUUCUGCAUGAGUCUGCUGUUUUAUUUUAUUUGAGCCAUUUUCGGCGCCAGCUCAGACUACGACUAUCGCAUUCAUAUUUUUGGCCUUUUACGACUUUUCAUAAUCUUUAUGGGCGGUAAAUGGGUAGAGGGCGGUAGAGGGCGUAACUCAGCGCUUUUUACAGUUCAAGGAGUUACAACGCUUAUGAGUGCAAUUUAAAUUCAAAAGCCGCUUAAAUUUAUUUCAAGCCCGAAGCAUCAGCAUCAGCAUCAGCUACAGCUUCAGCUUCUGCUUCAGCUUGAGCUUCACUCACUUAAGUCAAUUUUUGUGUUGCAAAUUUUACAUUUAUGACAAGCAAUUUAACUUUUGCCUAAUUGCGCGACAUGCAAAAUUGCAAGCAGCUAACUUUAGGGGAUUUUUCCCUCUCCGACCCCGACCACGACCCAGUCCCAUGGCUGUCAUCUUUUUAUCUGCAGGAAGCCCGAAGCUGUGUGUCCCGACGCUUCAUUAAAUGUAACUUUUGCCUUCGCCUUCGCCGUCGCCCAAGUCGACGUCGGAAAACGGCAUAGAAAACUUUUUGUUCCAGCAACAGGAUGUGGAGGCAUUUGCCUGGAUGUAGACGCUUGUGGGCGGAAACUAUCAGGAUAUUCAGCUCUGAACCGAGGGUUAGGCAAAUAAAAUGGCUCAUUAGGGUAGUGCAAGUGGAACUUAUUGGAUUAGUUGCCUCCCUCCGAUUUGGCUUUGGGUUAAGAAAGGAGGCUAUGUCCUUGCCUCUCUAAGAGAAGUCCAUCAAAAAAUGCAUCCAUUUUAAAUGUAUUUAAAUCUUUUUGAACAGGCAAUCAAAAUCCUGUCUUUAUCCCAGCCAAGAACCAGACACUCCCUGACCCCUUUUAUGGUUAGUAAAGUAUAAUCUCUUCUUCGAAAUUUAUAAAUAUUUCAGCACACAAAAAUGAGAACUUUUGGAAUAAGUUCUUGUUUGCUGCUUGGCUUAAGAGUGGCAACUUAAAGGCAACUUGAAACUUUCAACUGGGCUAAUCUCAUUGGUGAAUGGCAAGUUUGUCUAUCCGGCAAUUAGCAAAAAGCAAGAUUUUCAUUUCACAUGCAAGCGGCAAUAUCAGAGUCUCGGAUGGAAAACGGAGGAAGCAUUUUUCCGGAUGCUCGCUUCACAUCUAAGAAGCGUCGAAGCGGAUCGACAAUUGUCUUAAUUUCUCCCCGCGGUCCUUUUAGUUCUGCAAAUGUUGAAUCAGUGGAGGAAAUUGAAGGAAAAUCAUCCACCCACCCAGUGCUGGCAAUUGGCAAAAGGAUUUACUUUAUAAACUCCAUUUGUAGUUGCAUAGUAAACUUGUUUAUUUUCAGAUUUGUCUUAGGACUCUGAUUGGAAGAAGCUUAAGUGACACAUAAAAAUUGCACAAAGGACUAUUUCAGAACAAGGAGAAAAUUGUUAUUUGAAAUGAAUAAAAUGUGGAAAACAUUUUCCUUUUUGGCUUUCGGAAUUUAAAGGAUGAUUUAAUCCAGUCUCUUGUUUUAAAGUAAACGUUUAUUGGAAAACCACACAAAGCAAUUGUAACCAGGACAAAGGAUAGCAGAUCCAGACAAGGACAAUCAGUGGAGACUGAAGAGGAGUGCCAGGACAAGAAGACAAGUUGGCAGGCAGACCACAGCAACCACAGAAGCUCAUGAUGUUGAAAGGAUUGGUUAUUGAGUGGAGAAAAUAAUGGUCAAGUGCGUUGGAAACAGAAGGUACGAAAGGCAAGCCACAGAUAUCAAUAAGGACUCUUUCCCCUUCUCAAUUGAAUUUCCCAGAGGAAAACCUCAAGCAAAAAGGACUCGCCACCUUUCCCUUGUUUUCCCAGCAAUUCCAAACAAUAAGUUGCCAUUUUACUGCCGAAUGCUUAACCUUGUCCUCAAUCGUAAAGAGGGCGGUCGUCCUGGCUCCUGGCUGCCCCUCCUUCCACUUUCCACCAGAUGCUGCCCAAGAUUAUUUUCACCAUUUUCCUUGUGCCUUUUGUUCGGUUUCCUAGCCAAGGAAAAAUUGGUAAGGAGCAGGAGGAGGAGUUUCGUGGGCAGGAGCCUAAUCAGAUAUUUACGCCACAGGCGGCAGCUCAAAGUAGAAAAAUAUCCAGCGGAACACCUACUAUACACAGUGAGAAAAUAAAAGGGAUUUACAUUAGAC